rnacentral:rRNA from 1 species
GACGAACGCUGGCGGCGUGCUUAACACAUGCAAGUCGAACGAUGAACCGGUUUCGGCCGGGGAUUAGUGGCGAACGGGUGAGUAACACGUGGGCAAUCUGCCCUGCACUCUGGGACAAGCCCUGGAAACGGGGUCUAAUACCGGAUACUGACCGACACGGGCAUCCGUGACGGUCGAAAGCUCCGGCGGUGCAGGAUGAGCCCGCGGCCUAUCAGCUUGUUGGUGAGGUAGUGGCUCACCAAGGCGACGACGGGUAGCCGGCCUGAGAGGGCGACCGGCCACACUGGGACUGAGACACGGCCCAGACUCCUACGGGAGGCAGCAGUGGGGAAUAUUGCACAAUGGGCGAAAGCCUGAUGCAGCGACGCCGCGUGAGGGAUGACGGCCUUCGGGUUGUAAACCUCUUUCAGCAGGGAAGAAGCGAAAGUGACGGUACCUGCAGAAGAAGCGCCGGCUAACUACGUGCCAGCAGCCGCGGUAAUACGUAGGGCGCAAGCGUUGUCCGGAAUUAUUGGGCGUAAAGAGCUCGUAGGCGGCUUGUCACGUCGGUUGUGAAAGCCCGGGGCUUAACCCCGGGUCUGCAGUCGAUACGGGCAGGCUAGAGUUCGGUAGGGGAGAUCGGAAUUCCUGGUGUAGCGGUGAAAUGCGCAGAUAUCAGGAGGAACACCGGUGGCGAAGGCGGAUCUCUGGGCCGAUACUGACGCUGAGGAGCGAAAGCGUGGGGAGCGAACAGGAUUAGAUACCCUGGUAGUCCACGCCGUAAACGGUGGGCACUAGGUGUGGGCAACAUUCCACGUUGUCCGUGCCGCAGCUAACGCAUUAAGUGCCCCGCCUGGGGAGUACGGCCGCAAGGCUAAA